rnacentral:rRNA from 1 species
UACGGAGGGUGCGAGCGUUGUCCGGAAUCAUUGGGCGUAAAGGGCGCGUAGGUGGCCCGGUCAGUCUUUGGUGAAAGCGCGGGGCUCAACCCUGCGUCGGCCAGGGAUACUGCCGCGGCUGGAGCACUGUAGAGGCAGGCGGAAUUCCGGGUGUAGCGGUGGAAUGCGUAGAGAUCCGGAAGAACACCGGUGGCGAAGGCGGCCUGCUGGGCAGUUUGCUGACACUGAGGCGCGACGAGCGUGGGGAGCAAACAGG